rnacentral:ncRNA from 1 species
AAAGUGUCCUACGAAGAGAUUGUAGCCAAAUGCUUCGGCCUCCAACGGAGGUGCGAUGAAGGUAACGACAUCGUGCUGAGCGUCCGGGACGAGGGAAGCGCAGGCCAGCCAUUGAGCUCCGAAAUCAAGCCUUUCGCGUGCCGACCUCGUUCUGCCGUAGGGAAGGCAAAAUCGAUUGUACCGCUAAGGGCAAGGUGCAAUCGGACGCGGCGGAGUCUGAGACCC